UACGUAGGGAGCAAGCGUUGUCCGGAAUCAUUGGGCGUAAAGCGCGCGUAGGUGGCCUCAUAAGUCCGUUGUGAAAGUCAAAGGCUCAACCUUUGAAAGCCGAUGGAUACUGUGAGACUAGAGUACGGAAGAGGCGAGUGGAAUUCCUGGUGUAGCGGUGAAAUGCGCAGAUAUCAGGAAGAACACCCGUGGCGAAGGCGGCUCUCUGGGACGGUACUGACGCUGAGACGCGAAAGCGUGGGGAGCGAACAGG
rnacentral:rRNA from 1 species